ACUUCAAACACCACCACCUAAAUAAAGCUCAGUUCCCACUGCACCAACAAGCCACAGCCGAGAGUUCUGUGCAACAAAUGCGUUUCUGAAGUUCCGGAAGCCUGGACAUAGCAGUAAUUCCAGGACAAGACAGUUGGACAGCCCGCGGGGGUGGGGGUCAGGAGGAAUGGCUCCCCAGACUCCUGAACAGAGGAUGGUGACCCAAUCAGGGAACACGUCUCAACCCAACAUUGAAAGGACAAAGUUGCGUCUGCAGGCUUCCUCUUAAUUCUAUGGAUCAUGCAAUAGUCUUUCAAGAAAUUAUCUUCUGCUUAGCUAGUCACUUCCUGUUGCUAGAACCAUGAAGAGGCCUGGUGAAAGAUGUUCAGUAUACUACCUGCAUCAGCUGCUACUGCUAUGUGACAAGCAAAUUUUCCAGAAACACUGACAUGGAAACAGGAUCUUUCUUCUCCUACUGUUUGUUCCUCGACUACAGUUAUAAUCCUCUAUUUGUGACAUCAUAAUUAGUUGCCACUGGAGAAGACGAUCGUGUCACAAAAGGAUUAGGACCUAAGUCUUGGAGUCCAGCCACUAUGCUGUGGGGAAGCAAAGAAAGCUGUGGAGAGGCCACGUGGGGAGGAAUGCCAUCCUUAGCAUGGGCUGAGCUCCCAGGCAGCACCCAUCUCCAGACAUGCGAGUGAACAGGACUUCCGGCAAUUCCAGCCCCAGCCACUGAGUCACUUCCAGUUUCUCAGUGUUUCCAGGGGAGGCCUCAGACACUAUGGAGCAAAGAAAAUCUGACCCAGCUGUGCCCUGUCCAAAUUCCUGACCCAUAGAGAAUACAAGAGAGAAUAAAACGAUGUUGUUUAAACC
rnacentral:lncRNA from 1 species